AUUGAACGCUGGCGGAAUGCUUUACACAUGCAAGUCGAACGGUAGCGGGGGCAACCCCUCGCGAGUGGCGAACGGGUGAGUAAUAUAUCGGAACGUGCCCAGUCGUGGGGGAUAACGUAGCGAAAGUUACGCAAAUACCGCAUACGAUCUAAGGAUGAAAGCGGGGGAUAGCAAGACCUCGCGCGAUUGGAGCGGCCGAUAUCAGAUUAGGUAGUUGGUGGGGUAAAGGCUCACCAAGCCAACGAUCUGUAGCUGGUCUGAGAGGACGACCAGCCACACUGGAACUGAGACACGGUCCAGACUCCUACGGGAGGCAGCAGUGGGGAAUUUUGGACAAUGGACGCAAGUCUGAUCCAGCCAUUCCGCGUGCAGGAUGAAGGCCCUCGGGUUGUAAACUGCUUUUGUACGGAACGAAAAGGUCUCUCUUAAUACGGGGGACUCAUGACGGUACCGUAAGAAUAAGCACCGGCUAACUACGUGCCAGCCGCCGCCGUAA
rnacentral:rRNA from 1 species